UGUGUAGGCGGUUGUUUAAGUUUGGUGUGAAAUCUCCCGGCUCAACUGGGAGGGUGCGCCGAAUACUGAAUGACUAGAGUGCGGGAGAGGAGAGUGGAAUUCCUGGUGUAGCGGUGAAAUGCGUAGAUAUCAGGAGGAACACCGGCGGUGUAGACGGCUCUCUGGACCGUAACUGACGCUGAGACACGAAAGCGUGGGUAGCAAACAGGAUUAGAUACCCUGGUAGUCCACGCCCUAAACGAUGCAUAUUUGGUGUGGGUCAUUCAGUUGAUCCGUGCCGGAGCUAACGCGUUAAAUAUGCCGCCUGGGGAGUACAGUCGCAAGGCUGAA
rnacentral:rRNA from 1 species